rnacentral:rRNA from 1 species
CACCGCCCGUCACACCAUGGGAGUUGAUUACACCAGAAGCAGGUAGCCUUGACCGCAAGGAGGGCGCCUACCACGGUGUGGUCAAUGACUGGGGUG